UAUUAGUGCAAUAAUAACAGAAGACAGUUGUUAAAUCUUAAAUUCUGAGAAGACAAUGUAGUCAAGCACUUUCCCGGCCCUCCUCCCCCUAUGCCUAUGGCCUAAACCCCUCGUGGCGUGUCCUCCCCCAGCUCUCUCUCUCUCUCUCUCUCUCUGCCGAUUAUUCCGUUUUCUACGGUGGCAUUUUCUCUUCAGGCAUCGGAUCUGGGGUUAUUUCGCUUUGUGUCAAAGGGUUCUGUUCAUUGUUGGGAUUGUUCUUAUUGUGGAGAUAGGCAUUUGGGUAUAAUUCACCGGGAAAAGUCAUGGGGGAAUUGUUAUCUUUCUGUUGAUUCACUAGAAAGUCAGUCAGCUCGCGCAUAACAAGUUAAACUGCAAUAGUGAAGAUUUCUGGCCUUAGUUGUGACUCAAGUUGGAAAUUUUCUUUACUUAAUGAAGGUAGAUUCAGUUGUGAUCACUUUUGGCACAAGAAGUUAAUAUAUAUUGCGGAGAGGCAAUUUGUGUUAUGGGUUGACUUCAAAGACUAAUGUUUUUGGUGAUUUUCUGGGGAUAUUGUGGAUUCUGCCAUUUGGAGUGUGUGGAGAAGAAAAUAAUUAGAUUUGGUUUGUGGGUUUGAAAUGGAUCAUAUGACUCCGAGAGAGAGAGAUUUUGAAGGUGAUAUUGAGAGUGGGCUCACAAUUAGUGAAGAUGAAUCGAUCAAAGUUCCCUUUUUGGGUGCUACAAAGCAAGAAACGACAUUGCUCGAGAAGAUUUGUGGUGGGUUCAUUGAUGGGCCCAUCAAGAAUAAGGAGAGUUCAUGUGGCGAUUUUUCAAACUCUAAUAGAUUUUCUCCUGAGACUGUGAGGAUGGUUAGCAACAAGAUAUUAGAGAGGGUAGAGGCUGUAGAUUAUGUUAAGAUAACACCAGUGAAGGAUAAACGUAAAAAGUCAAGCAAUAAAAAACCUCCAAAACCUCCAAGACCUCCCAGAGGUCCAUCAUUGGAUGCAGCUGACCAGAAGCUAAUCAAGGAGAUCUCUGAACUUGCCAUGUUGAAGAAGGCAAGGAUUGAGCGAAUGAAAGCCUUGAAGAAGAUGAAAGUUGCUAAGUCAUCAUCUCCUAAUAGCAGCAGCAUAUUUGCCAUGGUGUUGACCAUUCUCUUCUGUCUUGUAAUAAUCUUUCAAGGAAUGUCGUCCAGUAGAAACUCACCUGUAAACUUCCAAGGAUCUCCUGUGUCAGCAGGACCGACGGACAGUGGUUUGAUUUCUGUUCAUUACUAUGCAUUUCCGUCUGCUAGUGAGCCAAAUGAACCUGGUUCUGGGUCUCCCAAUUUAGUAGAGCAAAUGACUGGUUCUGAUCGAUCGGAAAAGUUGACGAGAGUUGCGGGAUGAAAGGGAGCAUAACUGAAGUGAAUGCUCUACAGCCCUACUUUUCAUUGGAGAACAAACUUCGGAGUUGCCCUUUGAUGGUGCUCUGGUUUUCCUAUCUGAUUGCAGUGUGAUUAUUGUUGGUUUCUCUAAUUAGCAUCCAAAUGGUCAAAAUGUGAAACAAAUGAAGAGCUCUUGAGUAAUGGUUUUUCUUUGAGAUCUUUUGGAGGUAUAUAUACCAGGUGACCCCGUGACAGAAUCUUCCCAGAAAGUUUUAAGUCUUUAGUAAUUCAACAUAGGAUGGCUCGUUUUCUAAUUGUCCAUGAGAUCCACAUGCCGAGUCUCAGAGUCUUCGCACCUGGCUUCACGUGCAACUUUUAGAUUUGGUUGUCGCAAAUCAAAUGAUUGGCGAGCACCUCCUCUAUUACUUAAUAAUUAAAAAUAAAGGGUCAUCCCCUCCCCGGCUAUAAAGAUCUUGGGUUCUCUUGUUCGGUUUGGACCAGAUUAUCAGUGUCUGUUGCAAUCCGAGUCUCUGAAUUUAUUGUAAGAAAAAAGAAAAAGGUUCAAAUUUUUGUGCAGUAA